AAAGAAAAGCAGGGGUGCCUUUUAUGGCUGAGAAAGGUCUUUUUUAGACCUUACCCUUCGAACCUGCCCUGGCUAAUACCAGCGUAGGGAGCUUCAAUUUCAGAUAU
rnacentral:ncRNA from 1 species